GUAGACUCCUGCGCAUGCGCGCCGCCUCACUUCCGGUGCUCUCUCGCUGGGUCGCUCAGGUCGGCUUCGGUCGCCGUCGCUCCCGCUCUUCCACCCCCGCCAACCGCCGCUCGGGCCUCAGCAGCCGCCGCGUCGCUUCCUCGCUCGCACGCCACACAUUCUCCCCGAUGCAGCGCCGGGACGACCCUGCCGCGCGCCUCACCCGGUCCUCGGGCCGCAGCGGCUCCAUGGACCCCUCAGGUGUCCACCCCUCGGUGCGUCAGGCCCCGUCUCGGCCGCCGCCGCUGCCCCACCGGUCCCGGGGAGGCGGAGGUGGGCCCCGAGGGGGCGCUCGGGCUUCGCCCGCCACGCAGCCACCGCCGCUGCUGCCUCCCUCGGCUACAGGUCCCGACGCCACUGUGGUGGGUUCCGCGCCGACCCCGCUGCUGCCCCCGUCUGCCACAGCCGCGGUCAAGAUGGAGCCGGAGAACAAGUACCUGCCCGAACUCAUGGCUGAGAAGGACUCGCUCGACCCGUCCUUCACGCACGCCAUGCAGCUGCUGUCCGUAGAAAUUGAGAAGAUUCAGAAGGGAGAGUCAAAAAAAGACGACGAGGAGAAUUACUUGGAUUUAUUUUCUCAUAAGAACAUGAAGCUAAAAGAACGGGUACUGAUACCCGUCAAGCAGUAUCCAAAGUUUAAUUUCGUGGGGAAGAUUCUUGGACCACAAGGAAAUACAAUCAAAAGACUGCAGGAAGAGACUGGUGCAAAGAUCUCUGUCUUAGGGAAGGGUUCAAUGAGAGACAAAGCCAAGGAGGAAGAGUUGCGCAAGGGUGGAGACCCCAAAUAUGCCCAUUUAAAUAUGGAUCUGCAUGUCUUCAUUGAAGUCUUUGGACCACCAUGUGAGGCUUAUGCUCUUAUGGCCCACGCCAUGGAGGAAGUCAAGAAAUUCCUAGUACCAGAUAUGAUGGAUGAUAUCUGCCAGGAGCAAUUUCUAGAAUUGUCCUACUUAAAUGGAGUUCCUGAACCCUCUCGUGGUCGUGGGGUGCCUGUGAGAGGACGAGGAGCUGCCCCUCCUCCUCCACCUGUUCCCAGAGGUCGUGGUGUUGGACCUCCUCGAGGGGCUUUGGUUCGUGGAACCCCAGUGAGAGGCUCUAUCACCAGAGGUGCCACUGUGACUCGAGGAGUGCCACCCCCACCUACUGUGAGGGGUGCUCCUACACCAAGAGCUCGGACAGCAGGCAUCCAGAGAAUACCUUUGCCUCCACCACCUGCACCAGAAACAUAUGAAGAUUAUGGAUAUGAUGAUACAUAUGCAGAGCAGAGUUAUGAAGGAUAUGAAGGCUAUUAUAGCCAGAGCCAAGGGGAGUCAGAAUAUUAUGACUAUGGACAUGGGGAGGUUCAAGAUUCUUAUGAAGCCUAUGGACAAGAUGACUGGAAUGGGACCAGGCCAUCACUGAAGGCCCCCCCAGCUAGGCCAGUGAAGGGAGCAUACAGAGAGCACCCAUAUGGACGUUAUUAAAAAAAACAGGAGGGGAAAAUAUCAGUUAUGAGCAAAGUUGUUACUGAUUUCUUGUAUCCCAGGAUUCCUGUUGCUUUACCCACAACAGACAAGUGACUGAAAAUUCCUGAGGCUUUUCCUGGAAUAGAAUGGGUAUCGAAGACCCAUGUCAGCUGUCAGAGGACCCUGAAUACCAGGAGCUACCUGCUGUAUAGAGGCUGGCCUGGGGCAUUGGCUGAGACAUAGAAACCCAGGAGAGGAGAUCAACAGUUCCUUUUUACCCCACCUCUUGAUCUGAUUUACCCACAGAAAGCCAGCCAGGAUCUUCUUAGGAGUCUUUAGGACCAGAUGGAGUCCUCAGAGCUUCAGGGGACUCCUUUGUUAACAGUUCCAUCUACCUACUCAAGACAUUUUAGCGGGGAGAGCUGGGUGCUUAACUCAGUAGUUGAACCAUGUCUCACUAGUACAUGUGGGGGAACUGGGCUCAAAAAAAAAAAAAAAAAGGAAUUGAAAAGUUUGGUGAUACACACACCUUUAAUCCCAUAACUUGGGAGGCAGAGGCAGAUGGAUCCUUGAGUUUGAGGCCAUCCUGGUCUACAGAGCAAGUUCUAGGACACCCAGGCUACACAGCGAAACCCGUCUUGAAAAAAACUAAAUCCCUGGCAUGGCUCUUCAGGUCAGAACACACGCGGCUCCUGUGCCAUUCAUUCCCAGUCUUUUGUUUUCCCUUAGCUUCCAUAGAAUGUGUUGGAACACCUUUUUUGGAACCUUCAGCCUGGCAGCCCUUGGACAUUUCCAGAGGACUCCCAGAAGAGAUUUUCACCUUCUCAGUAACAUGCUAAAAAAAGUUGAGAAUCAUUUACUUUUAGGCAAAGUUAUUUUAAACUUUGUUCAUCUUUUUUGUUGUUAGUGCUUGCCCAAAAGUUAUUGAAGGGUAGAGCUGUUCUGCUUCGCCUCUGUACUACAUUUCUCAAGUAUCUGCCUCUGCAUAAGGACUUCAAUAAAGGUUUGGUUAUGUGAAUAGUGAAUGGUUCUACACUAAUAGCUUCUAUCAGUUUUGGGAGAGUGCCAAGGCUCCCCCUUACUAGUUAAUCUCUGCCAGUGUUUUGUCUUCAGUUUUUCUCUUGAGAGAGAUAGGUCAUCCACAAUCUUCAGGUACAAGAUAGUCACUUGGGAAUCACAAAAUUUUACAGAAAAGCUCAGAACUUGAGAUCAAACAUCGGGAUUUAAAUUUCAACUCAUUGCUUAUGUAUUUAUCAAGGCCUGUUUAUUCCAUAAAUAGUUCCUCCCUGCUAAAUGGGAUCUGACAAGCAAAUGUAUUUUAAAUCUGAGAAACUGGGUUUGGACAGAAUACUACACAACAUUCAAAGUUUCUGUCUUCCAGGCUUAUUCUUAAAAGUCCUGUCACACAGGCUCUGCCUUCCAUUGCCAUUUAGAGCCCUCAGGUUCUUUUGAGAGCUCUGAAUUAAGUGUUUGCCCACCCUCCCAGCUGCCCUGCUUGUCAGUCACCUGCAAGCUGAGAAGGAUGACAUCAGCUUUCUCCAAGCCUCUGGACUUCUCUGAGCCAUAAAUAUUUUAGAAGGGACUUUCUCUGGCUGUUGCCAGGGUGAUGGACUCUCAGGGGACUGUGGUGGGAGCGUGAAGGACUGGCUCUGGAAGGGUGGAUAUGAGGCCUGGCCACGAGCCAGGACUGGGCUCUGAAGGCUCUUGCUAUGCCUGCAUGCCUUCCCUUUCUUGAGCCCUUAGCUGUUGCUCCCAGGCCCAUCUCUGAUCUUGGAUGGUGUCUGGUCUUAGGUAAGUUGUUGAGUUUUCUGGGCCUUUGUUUUAAUACCUCUAGAGGUUGGGUGGGUGAAUCUUCAUCUGUCUUAGUGGAGGUAAGUGGAAAAUAAAGCUAUAAAAUAUUCCAAAUCUGUAAUGCUGUGCUCUGCUAGUAAAUCAUGAUUAGAGGAACUAACCCCGUUGCUUUUUGAUUUAUGUAGCAGGGAAGGGAGGACACAAUUUAACUGUAUGUAGUCAAGUCUGGCUUCAAACAUGACUGAACCUCUUUAGUGCUAGAAUUGCAGGCAUACACUGCCAUGAUUUUCGCUGUUGCCCUUUGUGAUUCCUAAUGCCACACGGGUACUGCUCCCACAUGACAUUUUCUCUCCCCACCUCUUCAAACAUGUAACUUGCAUGUUUGUGUGUGGGUGUAUGUACUGUUGAGAUGGGGUUAGUUUAGUUCAGGCUGGCCUUGAAUGCUGGCUCUGGCUCCGGCUCUUGUUAAUAAUCUUUAUUAUUUUGAGAUGAGGUCACCCUGUCUGGCUUGGCCUGGAUCUCAUACUCAGAUUUUGCCUACCUCUAACUCUCAAGUGCUGGAAUCAAAGGCAUGUACCACCAUGCCUGUUCCAAGCUCCCUUUUCUAAGGUUCUCAGAUCUAACUAGGCCAUCCGGAUAGCACUGGGGAUCCCAGUUGGUCCUAGUAAUUUACAAACAGUUUAUGGGUGUUAGGGCCCAAGAUAUAAAAAUGUAUACCACACACAUACACAUACAGUUUUUAGGUUGUUAGGCAGCCUUCCCCAAUCUCUGAGCAUGUGUCUGAGGAGGCAAGAUGACCUCCAAGAUCCUGUUGCUUUGGGAAUUCCUGUUUCUCUGUAUUUGGCUCCCUCUGCUGGGAUGCUCAUAGUGGGGAAGUGAGGUCAAAUAUGAGACUAAUAUUCAGACCAUUCUGAGGGACCAAGCUGGGGCAAAUCUCCAACUCUUGAUGACAGCCAUCCAGUUUCUCAUGUCCUGUAUCUCUGCUAUCCACUCUCCAUUAGUCCUCACAAUAAUGAAUUGAUCCUAAAUUUCAGACAUGGAACCAAACUGAAAUGCCUUGUGGCAUUUAGGAUCCUCAGGUGAUCUUAUGUGUUUCCUAGCUUCACUUAUUGUCUUAGAUUUGUUUUCCAUUGAUACAAUAAAAUAACUUGACAAAA